CUGCUCACUUUGGCAGCAUGUAUACUAAAAUUGGAAUGAUACAGAGAAGAUUAGAAUGGCCUCAGCAUAAGGAUGACAUGCAAAUUCAUGAAGCAUUCCAUAUAUUU